AAAGAUUGGUCCGAUCAUGAUACGGAAGAUUUUUAUGCUAUUUAUUGCCUCAGUUUUUUCUUUUUUUCUUUUUUCUCGAACCGAAUUUU
rnacentral:ribozyme from 14 species